rnacentral:lncRNA from 1 species
CUUGCUUCAUUCCCCGUAUUUGCAACCCUUCCCAACUUGUUUUAUACUGCCGAUAUGUCAACAAACAGUUACCUAAUGCAUGUAUCAACUUGCUUGCAUCCGCACUGUCAAAUGUCCACCCGACCCCAGACUCUUCAAACGGAUUGAACUGCUGCACUGUGUCUCUCAGUCCACCGACUGCAUGGACAACCGGUAUUGUUCCAUAGUUCUUAGCAUAUAGUUGGUUUAGACCGCAGGGUUCAAAUCUUGAUGGCAUGAGUAAAAUAUCAGCCCCGGCUGUUAUACGGUGAGCUGUCUUUACGGAAAACCCUACCCAUCCUCUUACUUUGUCACGAUGUUCGUUUUCAAACUGUCUAAGCAUCUGUUCUAGGUCAGGUCUGCCGGUGCCUAACAUGACUAAUUGCACAUCUUGGCCUAUCAUCCAGGGAAUUGCCUCGGCAAUUAGAUCAACACCUUUUUGUUGAUCUAGUCUCCCGAUAAAGCCAAGCAGUGGGACAUCUUCGCGAACUGGCAACCCGAGCUCCUUUUGUAGCGCGGCCUUGCAUUUAGGUUUACCGGUUUGCAGUGUUUCCAAGGAGUAGUUAGUAUAACCAUCGGAUUUGAGGUGAAUAUCAUAUUGUGGAUUCCAUUCCUUUGUAUCG